rnacentral:rRNA from 1 species
UACGUAGGGGGCUAGCGUUGUCCGGAAUCAUUGGGCGUAAAGCGCGUGUAGGCGGUCCGGUAAGUCCGCUGUGAAAGUCGGGGGCUCAACCCUCGGAUGCCGGUGGAUACUGUCGGGCUUGAGUACGGAAGAGGCGAGUGGAAUUCCUGGUGUAGCGGUGAAAUGCGCAGAUAUCAGGAGGAACACCAGUGGCGAAGGCGGCUCACUGGACCGGUAUUGACGCUGAGGCGCGAAAGCCAGGGGAGCAAACGGG